GUUGUUGCAGUUAAAAAGCUCGUAGUUGAACUUCGGGGUCUACCCAUUGGUCAGGCUUAAUUGUCUGUACUGGUGAGAUGGAUCUCUACCUUCUGAGGAACUUUCAUGCCAUUUAUUUGGUGUGAUGGGAAAUCAGGACUGUUACUUUGAAAAAAUUAGAGUGUUUAAAGCAGACUAUCGUCUGAAUACAUUAGCAUGGAAUAAUGAAAUAGGACGGACUGAUUCUAUUUCGUUGGUUUCUAGGAUCACCGUAAUGAUUAAUAGGGAUAGUUGGGGGCAUUAGUAUUCAAUUGUCAGAGGUGAAAUUCUUGGAUUUAUUGAAGACUAACUACUGCGAAAGCAUUUGCCAAGGAUGUUUUCAUUAAUCAAGAACGAAAGUUAGGGGAUCGAAGACGAUCAGAUACCGUCGUAGUCUUAACCAUAAACUAUGCCGACUAGGGAUCGGACGAAGUUAAUUUUAUAAUGACGCGUUCGGCGCCUUACGGGAAAC
rnacentral:rRNA from 1 species